rnacentral:rRNA from 1 species
GGAGUAUGUGGCUUAAUUUGACUCAACGCGGAAAAGCUUAUCUGGUCCGGACGCAGUGAGGAUUGACAGACAGUUUCAGGAGUGGUUCUUGGUAAACAAUUGAGAGAGUUGAAGUUCUUUCAUGAUCUUGUGAGAGGUGGUGCAUGGCCGUUCUUAGUUCGUGUAGUGAUAUGUCUGCCUAAUCGCGUCACGAUAACCUAUUGGUCGACAACCCAAUUAUCACAACUGCAGCAUAACUCCCCUUGGGUGGGCGAGGCUCUGUGUAGGAUAGACCUCUGAACAGUACGCAACGAACGCGAUCGUAAUCCCUUGUUGAGUGGCCAUCCUGUAAGCUGCUGGAUUAGGAACCCAGUGGUAUUAUCUCAGCCACAGAUUUUCUGGUUGUAAUGGGCCAGUUUUGAAACUCGGGGGAACAUCUGUGACUUUCUUUCUUAACGCAGAGGAAGGUUAUGGCAAUA